AACGUAGGAGGCGAGCGUUAUCCGGAUUCACUGGGCGUAAAGCGCGCGUAGGCUGUUGAGUAAGUCGGACGUGAAAGCCCCUGGCUCAACUGGGGGAGGCCGUUCGAUACUGCUCGGCUUGAGGGUGAGAGGGGAAAGUGGAAUUCCCGGUGUAGCGGUGGAAUGCGUAGAGAUCGGGAGGAACACCAGUGGCGAAGGCGGCUUUCUGGCUCACCCCUGACGCUGAUAGCGCGAAAGCGUGGGGAGCAAACGGG
rnacentral:rRNA from 1 species